rnacentral:rRNA from 1 species
GUGAAAAUCAGUUUAAUUUGAAUAGAAUAAAUUAUAUUUAUAUUUAAAUAAAAUAUUUUUAUUUUUAUUAUUGUUAGAGAAAAAAUUUUAUUAAUAAUAGUGUAUUAGUAUAGUAAUAUAAAUUUUAAAUAUUAUGAAAAUUAAAAUAAUAAAAAGAAAAAUUUAAUUUUUGUACCUUGUGUAUCAGGGUUUAUUAAAUAAAAAUUAAGGAAUUAAUUUUCUCGAUUUUAAAAGAGCUAAAAAAUUAUAAAUUUUACUGUAAAAUAAGUAUUUAAAAUAGUUUUUUUGUAGUGAGAUGUUAGUCGUUUUUAAAUAUAUCUAGUUUUUGAAGAAAAAAAUUUAAUUUUUUGUUUUAAAUAAAAUUUAUUUCAUUAGAAGUAUUUUUUUUUAAGAUUAAAAUAAUUUAAGGGAUAAGCUUUAAAUUAAAUAUUUAUAAUUUAUAUUUAAUAGUAAAAAAUUGUAGGAUUAGAAAUUUUCACCUUUAGUUUGUUAUAGUUAAUUUUUAUUAGUAUUAAAUUUAUAUAAGGUUUAAUUUUUAUAUUCAAAUAUAUUAUUUAACUAAAAAAUAAUAGUAAUAAUGAUAAAAUUAGUAUAAUUUAUUUAAAAUUUAAUUUUAAUUUUAAGGUAAUAUAAAGGAAUUCGGCAAAUAGAUUUCUCGCCUGUUUAUUAAAAACAUGUCUUUUUGAAUAUAAUUUAAAGUCUAACCUGCCCAUUGAAUAUUUUAAAGGCCGCGGUAUUUUGACCGUGCGAAGGUAGCAUAAUAAUUAGUUUUUUAAUUGAAAGCUGGAAUGAAUGGUUGAACGAGGAAAUAACUGUCUCUAUAUUAAUAGAUUAUAAUUUUAUUUUUAAGUUAAAAAGCUUAAAUUUUUUUAAAAGACGAGAAGACCCUAUAGAGUUUUAUAAAUUAAUUUUUUUUAAACUAUUUGAAUUUUAUAUGUUAAUAAGUUUAAUUUAUUUUAUUGGGGUGAUGGAAAAAUUUAUAAAACUUUUUUUUUAUAAAGACAUUAAUUUAUGAAUAUUUGAUCCAUUAAUAUGAUUAUAAGAUAAAAUUACCUUAGGGAUAACAGCGUAAUUUCUUUAAAGAGUUCUUAUCGAAAAAGGAGUUUGCGACCUCGAUGUUGGAUUAAAAUUAAACUUUGGUGUAGAAGCUAGAGUUUUAGGUCUGUUCGACCUUUAAAAUUUUACAUGAUCUGAGUUUAGACCGGCGUGAGCCAGGUUGGUUUCUAUCUUUAAAUUUAUGUAAUAUCUUAGUACGAAAGGACCAGAUAUUAAUAAUAAUUAUUUAUAUAAGAUUAAAAUUAAUAAUUACUUUGGCAGAUUAGUGCAUUAAAUUUAGAAUUUAAUUAUGUAUAUUAUACAAG